rnacentral:rRNA from 1 species
UACGAAGGACCCAAGCGUUAUCCGGAUUUAUUGGGCUUAAAGGGUGCGUAGGCGGGUUAUUAAGUCAGUGGUGAAAGCCUUCAGCUUAACUGAAGAAUUGCCAUUGAUACUGAUGAUCUUGAGUAUGAUUGAGGUUGGCGGAAUGUGUCAUGUAGCGGUGAAAUGCUUAGAUAUGACACAGAACACCGAUUGCGAAGGCAGCUAACUAAGCCAUAACUGACGCUGAUGCACGAAAGCGUGGGGAGCAAACAGG